CAGCCGCCGCGGUAAUACCGGCGGCCCGAGUGGCGGUCACUAUUAUUGGGCUUAAAGCGUCCGUAGCCGGGUUGGGAAGUCCUCCGGGAAAUCUGGCCGCUUAACGGUCAGAAUGCCGGAGGAUACUCCCAGCCUAGGGAGCGGGAGAGGCCGAGGGUAUUCCCGGAGUAGGGGGGAAAUCCUAUAAUCCCGGGAGGACCACCUGUGGCGAAGGCGCUCGGCUGGAACGCGUCCGACGGUGAGGGACGAAGGCCAGGGGAGCAAACCGGAGUAGAUACCCGGGUAGUCCUGGCUGUAAACGAUGCGGACUUUGUGUCGGACAAGCUAUGAGCUUGUCCGGUGCCGGAGGGAAACCGUUAAGUCCGCCGCCUGGGGAGUACGGCCGCAAGGCUGAAACUUAAAGGAAUUGGCGGG
rnacentral:rRNA from 1 species